rnacentral:rRNA from 1 species
GGAAUAUUGGGCAAUGGGCGCAAGCCUGACCCAGCGACGCCGCGUGAGUGAUGAAGGCCUUCGGGUUGUAAAGCUCUGUGGGGGGGGACGAAAACAGCCAGGUCAAAUAGGACUGGUUCUUGACGGUACCUCCUUAGCAAGCGCCGUCCAACUCUGUGCCAGCAGCCGCGGUAAGACAGAGGGUGCAAACGUUUCUCGGAAUUACUGGGCGUAAAGCGCGUGUAGGCGGAUCGGCAAGUCGGAUGUGAAAUCCCCGGGCUCAACCCGGGAACUGCAUUCGAAACUGCCGGUCUUGAGUAGUGGAGAGGGAAGCGGAAUUCCUGGUGUAGAGGUGAAAUUCGUAGAUAUCAGGAGGAACACCAGUGGCGAAGGCGGCUUCCUGGACACUUACUGACGCUGAGACGCGAAAGCGUGGGGAGCA